CGCUGGCGGCGUGCCUAAUACAUGCAAGUCGAACGGUCUUUCUAUGGAAGCUUGCUUCCACUGAGAAGAUAGUGGCGAACGGGUGAGUAACACGUGGGUAACCUGCCCAUAAGAGGGGGAUAACAUCCGGAAACGGGUGCUAAUACCGCAUAGUUUUCUUGAUCGCAUGAUCGGGAAAGGAAAGACGGCCUUUGUGCUGUCGCUUAUGGAUGGACCCGCGGCGUAUUAGUUAGUUGGUGAGGUAACGGCUCACCAAGACGAUGAUACGUAGCCGACCUGAGAGGGUGAUCGGCCACAUUGGACUGAGACACGGCCCAAACUCCUACGGGAGGCAGCAGUAGGGAAUCUUCCGCAAUGGACGAAAGUCUGACGGAGCAACGCCGCGUGAGUGAAGAAGGUUUUUCGGAUCGUAAAACUCUGUUGUCAGAGAAGAACAAGUUGGAGAGUAACUGCUCCAGCCUUGACGGUAUCUGACCAGAAAGCCACGGCUAACUACGUGCCAGCAGCAGC
rnacentral:rRNA from 1 species